CUCAGAAAACUACUACCUAGUUACCUACCUACCUAUAUAAUUUCAUACUUUUGCAAACAAAUGCUCUGUUUAUAUUUCUCUCUGUGCUUUAAAAAGAAAAGAAAUUCCUAAAAAUCAGAGGAUGGCCCAAAUGUUAUGAAACUUGGUGGACUAACAGUGAUCAAUGUGUCCUCCAAGUGUGGUCAUUUGGGGAAGGGGAGACCAGGAAGCCCCCCUCCCAUUGCUGCCAAUGGCCUGGAUCUAGCCACAUUUUUUCGGUUGUAGACCAGCUACUUAUCCAUUUUUGGGAGGCGUGUGGAAACAGAUCCAGGGAUCUCCCGAAAUUUGACCAGCAGAAAAGGAUCGAAGUUCAGCUGAAAAUGCACAAGCCUAUUGUGAAUGAUAGGCAAGAGAAUCUCCAAAUAUUACAAACAACUAAGAGAAGAUGCAGUUCCUCAUUCAUUCAGAUACAGUUGUUUCUUUGUCAGGUCCAAAAGGAACAAUAGAAUAAAGGUGUUAUGGUUGAGCCUUAUGGCUCCAAUACUGGGAGACGUGGUCGUAAGACUCCUCGAGAGUCAGACUCUCUUGAGGAGCGAGAGAGGAAACGGCUGCGGGACAUCUUUGCAGAACCAUCUGACGAAGACUCCUUUGAGGGUUUUACCGAGAGAAUGGAGGAAGAGGUGGUUAGCUCAGAGGAGGAUGACAUGGAAUGGACUCGUGUGAGGGAGGAUUUGGUGUUCCUGGUAAUGAUAGCAUGGGAAGCGACUGGCAGGUUGCAGGAUCGGACCCGUGGACAAGCUGGAGGGAUGGAACGGGAUCCACAGCUGGGGAUGCUGUGGGGCGUAGUCAAAGAUGUUUUAGCUCUGAUGAGGAUGAUGAUGAUGAGGCACCUGGAAUUAGGGUAACACCUGAUAGCGAUGAGGAGUUGUAACUGGCAUAAAAUGGGGUCUUGAAUCCAGGGCUAAUUGCGUUGGGCAAGGUAAUCUGGACGAACGCUUGGGCUCUUGUUGGGAAUUUCCUGAAGACGGGUGUGUUUCGUUUGCUGAAUACCUUGGACCCUCCGUCGUCUUCUUGACGGACAUUAUUUACCUACUCGGAAUUGACGCUGGACUGGCUGACUGACUGAUUGACUGACUGACUGACUGACUGACUGACUACGAUCUUGGACGACCCUUUCUUUGGCUAUCGGAGGAUUUCGUGGAACCUAAGACGCCUGCACCUGGCUAUCGACCUCGGACCGGAUUGGGACCCCGCUGACCGCUGCAACCCUGAUUGAUGUGUUUGGACCCGGAGUUCGCCCGCUGCACGGAGGAGUAACAACUUAGUUGCUCAACCACAGCUGUUGAGUAGCAGAGAGGAAUCUGCUGCCAGUAUUUAUGUUCUAUUGAAUCUUUGUUUACCAGCUUUUGUUUGUUUAAAGUCCCAGGCUGAAGUAAGCAUUUUUGGUUUAACCCGGAUUAAACUCCUGUUUAAUCCGGUUUAUCUUUUGAACCGUUUUUGAGUGACUUUUCAUAUUGAAGGCGAGUGUUUGCCUAGCUCUUUGUUUUUUACGAGCAUUUUUGGUUCUGUAUCUUUAAUAAACUGUGUUGAAUCUUA